UUUAUUUUAUAAGGUCCCCAAGUUCCCUGCUGGGGAGUUCAUUUGUUUUGUAUGGAAAAAAGAAAGGGGAAAAAAAUCCCCAAGUAUAACAAGAGACGAACAGUUAGUGCUGAUUUUCAUUUGCAUAAAUUUUCAUAUAUUUUAGUGAAAAUAAUAGCGGAGCCGAGGAGUGCUCUGCUCAGUUGAGGCAGAGGAAAGAAAAUCUUAGGGAGCACCGACUCGUAGGAAAGGAGAUGGCCAUUAAUAGAUUACAAAUAUACAUGUAAAGCAUUUUUCGACUAUUCUUGGAUAUAAGGAGCACCAGGGUCCCCUCGCCACCCCUCCACCCCCGCCCCUUGGCCCCUUGGCCCCCAUGCCCCUCACCCUCUAACCCCCUCCUCCAGAGGUAAGGGCCUCAGUGUGUGUUCUCUCCCCUCCUCUACCCACCCCAGCAGCGGACACACAACACAAGCGUCUCCCCGGCUUCCGCUUCCUCCGCGCUGCUGCACCACUGCUGGAGUAUUCACGCUCCAGGCUGUUUUCUUUGAGAGACUAUAAAAAUAUGCAAAUGGCUAUUGUUAAGAGCGAAAAGUAGAGGGUAUUUUUCUCCCCGUACGCCACUUGUGUUCCUGGUGAGUAUAAUGUGCAGAGAGGGCUGAGGGGUUUCCUUCAGUCUUUAGUCUCUCUCUCACACACACAGACUCACAAAGACAGAGCUGGAGAUGACCAGGUACAGAGGCAGGAUAUUAGAAAUAUUCUCUCAGGAAGCCAUUGUCUAUUUCCAUUGUGGUAAUUUUCGUAAGAGAAUAUGACCACAUCUGUGUAAGAGAGAGAGCGAGAAAGAGAAAGAGAAAGAGAGAGAGAGAGAGAGGGAGAGAGAAAGAGAGAGAGAGAGAGAGAGAAAGCGAGAGGGAGAAAAAGAGAGAUAGAGAGAGUAAAAAGAGAGAUAGAAAAAGAGAGAGGUAUUAGGAUGAUAUCCAAGCUACACCACGGGUAGCAGCAGCUAGGAAGUCAGGCCUUUAUAUAAAGUCCCUGAGCAGAGAGAGAGAGAGAGAGAGAGAGAGAGAGAGAAAGUAAGUAAGGAGCCACAUUUGUAAAGCCCUCACGGUCUCAAGCAGGAAGACUUUUUGAAGUGAUUAUGGAGACAGUUCAGAUCAAAGGAUUUGACAAGUUUGAGUGCCCGCCAAAUACGAGCCGGGCUAAUCACGCUGAAGCCCUCCGUACAAGACACCACUGGUCCCUCCAGCUGCUUUGCAAAUGUAACGUGACACUUAGGGAUAAACAGAUUAUCAGGGGACAUAAGAGAAAAAAUCCUCUCAGACUAGUAGAAGUGAAAUAGUUUAUUUAAUGAACUUGGAGACUACCAAUGUACUGUAUAUGGUGGUGUGUAAUAAUAAAUAAUUUUCUGUAAA